CCGCCAGAGAACUACAAGUGAAAAACUCGAAACUCAAAGGACUUGGCGGUGUCCCACACCAACCUAGAGGAGCCUGUCCUGUAAUCGAUACCCCCCGCUCUACCCAACCUCCACUAGUACUUUCAGCCUAUAUACCGCCGUCGACAGUCUACCCCAUGAGGGUCCAACAGUAAAUACAAUAGCUUUUUUCCGCUAAUACGUCAGGUCAAGGUGUAGCAAAUGUUGAGGAAGAGAUUGGCUACAUUUUUUAACUUAAAAACACGGAAUGCAGUAUGAAACUCACGCACAAAGGUGAAUUUAGCAGUAAAAU
rnacentral:rRNA from 1 species